AGUGAACGCUGGCGGUAGGCCUAACACAUGCAAGUCGAACGGCAGCACAGUAAGGGCUUGCUCUUACGGGUGGCGAGUGGCGGGCGGGUGAGGAAUACAUCUGAAUCUACUUUUUCGUGGGGGAUAACGUAGGGAAACUUACGCUAAUACCGCAUACGACCUACGGGUGAAAGCAGGGGAUCUUCGGACCUUGCGCGAUUGAAUGAGCCGAUGUCGGAUUAGCUAGUUGGCGGGGUAAAGGCCCACCAAGGCGACGAUCCGUAGCUGGUCUGAGAGGAUGAUCAGCCACACUGGAACUGAGACACGGUCCAGACUCCUACGGGAGGCAGCAGUGGGGAAUAUUGGACAAUGGGCGCAAGCCUGAUCCAGCCAUACCGCGUGGGUGAAGAAGGCCUUCGGGUUGUAAAGCCCUUUUGUUGGGAAAGAAAAGCAGCAGGUUAAUACCCCGCUGUUCUGACGGUACCCAAAGAAUAAGCACCGGCUAACUUCGUG
rnacentral:rRNA from 1 species